rnacentral:rRNA from 1 species
AGAGUUUGAUCAUGGCUCAGAGCGAACGCUGGCGGCGUGCUUAACACAUGCAAGUCGAACGAGGUUUGUAGCAAUACAAAUACUCGUGGCGAACGGGUGCGUAACACGUGGAUAACCUUCCUUCAGGUGGGGAAUAACCCAGUGAAAAUUGGGCUAAUACCCGCAUAACAUCGCGAUGGCACAUGCUGUUGCGUCCAAAGCCGCAAGGCGCCAGAAGAGGGAUCCGCGGCCGAUUAGCUUGUUGGCGAGGUAAUGGCUCACCAAGGCUUUGAUCGGUAUCCGGACUGAGAGGUUGGCCGGACACACUGGAACUGAGACACGGUCCAGACUCCUACGGGAGGCAGCAGUGGGGAAUCUUGCACAAUGGACGAAAGUCUGAUGCAGCAACGCCGCGUGGGGGAUGAAGCUUCUCGGAGUGUAGACCCCUUUCGACCUGGACGAAUGCCCGCAAGGGUUUGACGGUACAGGUAUAAGAAGCCCCGGCUAACUACGUGCCAGCAGCCGCGGUAAUACGUAGGGGGCCAGCGUUGCUCGGAAUUACUGGGCGUAAAGGGUCCGUAGGCGGUGUGGUAAGUCGAUAGUGAAAUCUCUGGGCUUAACCCAGAGGCUGCUAACGAAACUACCAUGCUAGAGUGUGAGAGAGGCGAGUGGAAUUACGGGUGUAGCGGAAAUGCGUAGAUAUCCGUAGGAACAUCCGAGGCGAAAGCGGCUCGCUGGAUCACAACUGACGCUGAGGGACGAAAGCUAGGGGAGCAAACAGGAUUAGAUACCCUAGUAGUCC